AGUGAACGCUGGCGGUAGGCCUAACACAUGCAAGUCGAACGGCAGCACAGUAAGAGCUUGCUCUUACGGGUGGCGAGUGGCGGACGGGUGAGUAAUACAUCGGAAUCUACUUUUUCGUGGGGGAUAACGUAGGGAAACUUACGCUAAUACCGCAUACGACCUACGGGUGAAAGCAGGGGAUCUUCGGACCUUGCGCGAUUGAAUGAGCCGAUGUCGGAUUAGCUAGUUGGCGGGGUAAAGGCCCACCAAGGCGACGAUCCGUAGCUGGUCUGAGAGGAUGAUGCGCCAGACUGGAACUGAGACACGGUCCAGACUCCUGCGGGAGGAACGCGGGGGGAAUAUUGGACAAUGGGCGCAAUCCGGAUCCAGGCAUACCGGCUGGGUGAAGAAGGCCUUCGGGUUGUAAAGGCCUUUUGUUCGGAAAGAAAAGCAGCAGGUUAAUACCCCGCUGUUCUGACGGUACCCAAAGAAUAAGCACCGGCUAACUUCGUG
rnacentral:rRNA from 1 species